GUGUUCUCUCUGGCAGCACAUAUACUAAAAUUAGAAUGAUACAGAGAUUAGCAUGGUCCCUGUGCAAGGAUGACAACCAAAUUGGUGAAGCAGUCCAUAUGUAU
rfam:Otolemur garnettii contig032332, whole genome shotgun sequence.